AGGUAGCAUAAUCAUUUGUUAUCUAAAUGAUAACUAGUAUGAAUGGUCUGACGAGAAAAUAACUUUCUAAAAAGAAAAGAUAAAAAUUUAUUUUAAAGUAAAAAAGCUUUAUAACUUUAGAAAGACGAGAAGACCCUAGAACCUAUUCUAUCUAUAUAGUUUGUUGGGGUGACAUUAUUCAAAACAAAUAACUAUUAAAACUUAUUAACUGACUCUAUCUAUCUUUAUUAAAAAAAAAAAAGGUACUCUAGGGAUAACAGCAUAAUCUUCUUCUAGAGCCCUAAUCGACAAGAAAGAUUUUGACCUCGAUGUUGAAUUGAUAUUUCUUUCUAAAGCAGAA
rnacentral:rRNA from 1 species